rnacentral:tRNA from 1 species
GGCGGGGUAGCUCAGCUGGUUAGAGCAGAGGAAUCAUAAUCCUUGUGUCGGGGGUUCAAAUCCCUCCUCCGCUACCA